rnacentral:lncRNA from 1 species
GAUUCCUCAGAGGGAGACCUUUUCUGGGCUCACUAACUGUCCUGUCACCUCCACCACAAUUAUACCGCAUUAUGAUUGUGGUUUGAAUAUGCUUGUCCUAGGGAGUGGCAUUAUUAGGAGGUAUGGCCUUGUUGGAGGAAGUGUGUCACUGUGGGGGUGGACAAUAAGACCCUCCUCCUAGCUGCCUGGGAGACAGUCUAUCCUGGAUGCAGUCAGGUCAAGAUGCAGAACUCUCAGCUCCUUUUCCAGAACUGUGUCUGCCUGGAUUCUGCUGUGCUACCUACUGUGAUGAUAAUGGACUGAACCUCUGAAACGUUGCUAGGAGUUGAACUCAGAACCUCUGGAAGAUCUCUUAACCGCUGAGCCAUUUCUACAGCCACCCAAGAGCUCUAGUUUUUAUGUCAACACUACUUAGAAAACCGGAAAGAGCAACAGAAGAGCAGCUGGCAGGACACAGCCCACGAAUCACUGAGCAAUCCCAUGUCUGGCCGUUUCUCCUUCAAGCAAAAUGUAUGAUCAUCUGUACUGCUGGAAGUUACUGCUGCCCACAUUGAUGAUUUCCCUUCAUCAGUGUCUUUCAGGGUUGCUCCAGAAAGGAGAGGUGUCAUGGCUGGAAAGGACAAUUGGUUGCCUCCCUUCUUUGGAAGCUUGUAUGAUGACUUCUGACAUCAUGAAAGCUAGUGGUAGGAGCUCAGCUGGGUUCAAGAGAGAGAGAGAUGCCAGGAAGCUUCAUGUACGGUUGAUAAGCCAUGUUAGAAGAGCUCAAGGCAAAACCCGUUUUGAUGAUUUGGGAAUAAAAACAAAUGUAUGAGGGGAAAGGAAACUCAGAAGAGGAAUAAAAUCUAAAAUCAGGUGGUGUGGCUUAUGAAAACUAGUGUUAGUUCAUAAUGUUGAUCCACCUAUAGGGUUGCCUUGAUGGCAAUAGAGCAUCUGAGAUGAUGAGGACAGACACUUGAGCUGAGAAAGCAGUGCUAUCCACUGUGUUCCUCCUCUCAAGGAUGCAGUUGUGUAGAGAACAGGAUGGACCAAACUGAGAGAUGACUGAGCACCGGAUGUCCCUUGUGAUUCUCAGAGUGCCAUGAGAUGAGCCCUCUGUCAGAGUGCUUUGCCUGAGGAUAACUCAGAGUCCAGCAAGGAGGGCUGGGAUUCACACUUUGCAUGUGUGUCUGCCUAGGCUUGGGCUGUUUUCUGGGAUGGACUACCUGAAAUUCAUCAGGUCCACAUCCAUAUGUGUGAAAGUGCAUGAGGAGGACAUGGAAUGAUGCCACAAUAAACAGUUGCUGUAAGUAUCAGCCAUGUGUGUGCAUAUGCACAUGCUAAAGAGCUUGCCAAACAAGUACUCAGGGAGACAACACCUACAACUCACCAGUUGUAGUUACACAAGUCAGGGUACUUUAUGUUAAGAGAGAAAGCAUGGUUAUUCCUCAUGUUACAUCUAGGCACAUGGGAAGAAGCUGGAGAGAGAUGUGGUCAGCCUCUGUUACCUCAUAUAGCCUGUUGCCAUGGUUAAAGGCUGUGGUGUUGGUGUGAGGGAGCUCAGGGGUGGGCUGGGAUCUGGAAGGAACUGCAGGUUUGUUUGGCUGUAUGUUGGGAGAAUAUAUACAGAUUCCUGUGAUGAAGUCCUGCCUAAACCUCAUUGUGCUGUACUGGGAGAUAGGAGUGAGGAAGUGUAUGAAGCCUAAUGUGGUCCUUGAAGUGACCUUUAGCAGGGCCUGUACUAAAGCAGUAGAAACUGUUGCAAAUUUCAAUCAAUUUGAUACCAGUCCAAAAGGCACCUGUGUGCCUGGACAUCCUUUGAGCUUUCCUAAACAGAGUGAGGCUUGGCCUCUGUGACCUCACAGAAGGGGUCACUGUCAUGGUUAUGGGUGUGCCCUAGUUCUGAGGGCAGCAGAGUCCAUGAUAGGAGAAGGUGGCAAGAGAUCCUUUCUAGAUCAAGGCUAAAAACAAAGAAGCUUUGGACAAAUUUGAACUCAAAAGAAUCCAGUACUUCAAACAUAAAAAGAAUCAUAUAACCUGAUAGUGAGGAUUUCUGGACCUAGAUAAGUAGGACUGGAAAGAAAGAGGCCUGGACAAACAAAAAGGAAAAAAAAAAAAAAAAAAAAAGAGUGUGGGCAAUGGGAAAAUCUGACCUGGAAGGAGGUCAGGACCAAAAAAAAAAAAAAAAAUAGAGAUAUGGGCCUAGGCCUAUCCCUGCUCUAGAAGAACCCCAGGCCAAAAACAAAAAGUGAUGUCGACCUGGGCAAAUCCCUGACAUUUGAAGAGACCUGGCAUAAAGUAAUAAGUAACUUUGAGAGGCCCAGGCCCAAAGCAAGAAUUGAUGAGGGCCUGGACCUAUCCCUCACUCAUGAAGAGGCCCAGGCCAAAAUCAAGGAGUGAUGUGGGUCUUGGCUUAUCCCAGACAGUUAAAGAGGGCCGGGCCGAAAAAUAAAAAAAUGAUGUGGGCCUGGACCUAACCCUGACCCUUGAAGAGACCGGGGCAAAAAAAAAGCAAAAUGUGAUGUGGGCCUGGGCCUAUCCCUGCAAUUUAAAGAGGCCUGGGCACAAUGCAAGAUAUGAAGAGGGUCUGGGCCUAUGCCUGACCUUUGAAGAGGCCCGGAAAAAAACAAAAAAACCCAAAAAAACGAGGGCCUGGGCCAAAAAAAAGAAAUGAUGUGGGACUGGGCCUAUCCCUGAAAUUUGAAGAGGCUGGGCUUAAAGAAAGAAGUGAUGUGGGCCUGGGGCUAUCCCUGUAAUUUAAAGAGGACUGGGCCUAAGACAAGAAGUGAAGAGGGUCUGGGCCUAUGUCUGACCCUAGAAGAGCCUUGGGACAAAAGGAAGAAGUGAUGUGGGCAUUGGCUUAUCCCCACCCACCCCCCCAAACCAUGAAGAGGCCUAUCCCCGACAUAAGAAGAGGCCCGGGCCACAAGAAAGAAGUUAAAGUGCCUGGUUCUAUCCCUGAAGUUUGAAGAGGCCCGGGCCUAAAGAAAGAAGUUUUAUGUUCCUGGGCCUAUUCCUGAACAUUAAAGAGGCCCAGGCCAAAGUAAAUAAGAGAAGAGGCCCGGGCCUAUCCUCCCGGGUCAAAAGCAAAAUGUGAUGUGGCCCUGGGCCUAAUCCUGAAAUUGAAAGAGGCCUGGGCCCAAUGCAAGACAUGAAGAGGGCCUGAGCCUACGCCUGACACUUGAAGCAGCCCGGGCCUAAAGAAAGAAGUGAUAUGUGCCCGGGCCUAUUCCUGAACAUUGAAGAGGCCCAGAAUAAAAGCAAAAAAAUUGAGGGACAGGGUCAAAAGCAAGAAGUGGGGUGAGACUGGGUAUAUCCCUCAUCUUUGAAGAAUCCCGGCCUAAAGAAAGAAUUGAUGUGGGCCUAGGUCUAUCCCUGUUCCUCACUGGAUUGUAGGCUUUUCACAGACCCAGGCUCGGAGUUACUGAGCGACCCAGAAGGCAUGGCAGAGGCUUCAUCUGUCUCCCUGCCUCCACUCACUUCCCUUGCUGUGGCCUUCCCACCUGGCCUGGAAAGGGGUCUCUGUGGAAAACUUCUGGUACUUAGGCCCACAUCUGGAGACCAAAUUGGGGCAAGAGUGAACAAAACGAACACACAGAACUAAUACUCCAGGAAGGACCAGCCUAAGCCUAUCUGGGUUCCUGCCAGAAAUGUCAGGCACCACCCCACUGACCAAGAAGAUGGCCCGCCUCUCAGUGGCAGACCAAGGACAGAAGAAGGGGAGGAGGAGGCAGAGGAAACACCACACGCAGAAGGACAAAAAAAUCUCCUGGAAGGACAUCCAUAACCUGGUGACUGCUGCCCAGGCAAUGUGCCCUUCACAAGCCCCACUCUCCUCUAUUCUCUUGGCUUUUUUGUCAUUCUUCAUGCUAACUCUAUUGUUGCCCAGCCUCUCCUUAGCCUUCAAAACACCCAUCAUUGGAGAUUCUAUGCUAGGGAAACCUACAAUGGACACAACAAAGUUAUAGGGACCCAGGACUGUCCAAUAGAAGGAUAUCGAACCAGGAUUGAGAUCCCCCUACACCCAGAUUCCAUCUCCACUACACCCAGCCCUUUUCUCUGCUUUCCUUACCAAAACACAGGUGAAUGCCUCCAGGAGGUCUCUGCAUAUGGAGGUUGCAGAUACUGGAGCUGCAGAAUGGAAUCCACCAGUCAUGGUGGCACAAUGCUCAAAAACCUUAAAACUCAUUUUCAGCUUUCAAUCGGCGAUCCAUGGGAUGAACGUUGGCAGACCGGAGUCAUGGGUAAACUUUCCCCAAAUACCCAGUUGCUGACCUGCAAAUCUCCUGUGAGCUGAGCUUGUUCCUGCCUCCAAAUCAGUCUUUACUCAUGCUAACAUUAUCCAACAGGAAAAUCAGUCUCAGAAGAAGUUGUGAGCUACCCUCUCCUGUCUACAGUAUAUCCAAUAUGCAGCUGACCUCCUUUCCUUAACAACCCAUCCUAACUCCUCUCAAUGCUUUUUCUGUGCUUCUCUCUUCUGACCAUUAUUAGCAGCUGUUCCCAUUAACAUUUCCCUUCAUGACCUCCAUGGAACCAUACCCACGAGGAAAGCACAGGACAUUCCUCUCUUUGACCUACCCCCCCCCCCCCACUUGGUUUAUCUCUACGAACCUGAAGAACUCGCCUUGCAGAUGGGAGAAAGCAGAAAGAAAAGAGAGAUCUUCAUCCUUCUACUCAUUGGACUAGGCUUUGCUGUCUCUCUGGGUGCAACUGGAACUGCUAGAGCAGCCCUCAUCCAAACACAUCUGGCCAGUGACUUCCAAGACAAGCUUGACCAGGCAAUGGCUUCCACUACAGACAGCCUUGGGUCUCUUCAACUCCCGAUAACCUUAGCAGGAGUUGCUCUCCAAAACCGGAGAGCUCUGGACUUACUGACUGCUGAACAGGGAGGAACUUGCAUUUUGCUGGGGGGAAAAUGUUUUUAUGUCAAUGAAUCUGGGCUGGUAGAACAAGAUGUACAAAUGCUCAAAGAACUCAGGGGGAACCUCCUGGCACACUAUACUCCCAAUACUCUUACCCAUUGGUACUCUAAGCACUUGCUAGCAUGGGUUCUUCCUCUCCUUGGCCCCAUACUAGCCAUUGGAGCCUUACUUAUCUUGGCACCCUGUCUCAUUCAGUUUCUAAAGCAGCAGAUGAGUAGCAUUGCAAAAAUCACUACAAAUCAGGUCUUGUUUCAGUAUCAAACUGUUCCCAACAUAGAAGACAGUUAUUCUGGUGACACCUCUCCCUUAUUUUAAAAAAAAGGGGGGCAUCUGUGGGGCAAUGGGAUACGUGCAGACAGCCAGGAUUCCAGUCAAGGCUAGAUCUUGAACCCCGGGACCCGGUAGAGAUAAUUCACUUACAUGGGAUGGGAGGAGUUCUCUCAUGUCUCCUGGACCCUUGUUCCUGUCGGAGUUCCCACCCCCACAAUGCCCAUAGAAGUGGCAUGGCUAUCAGCCACUUAGGAACAGCACCAAGCCCUCUCACAUGAAAAUAAGGUUUCCCCCAAACUCUCAGUCCAAGCCAAUGAGAGGGGCUUGCUGUCAAACUCUAAAUCACUGCCAGAAGUGUAUAUAGGAGAGCCAUGCAGGGAAUUAAAGAAUUCGAGAACUAGGCCAAAAGAAAAAAAAAUGAUGUGG